rnacentral:rRNA from 1 species
CGGACGGGUGAGUAAUGUCUGGGAAACUGCCCGAUGGAGGGGAUAACUACUGGAAACGGUAGCUAAUACCGCAUAACGUCGCAAGACCAAAGAGGGGGACCUUAGGGCCUCUUGCCAUCGGAUGUGCCCAGAUGGGAUUAGCUAGUAGGUGGGGUAAUGGCUCACCUAGGCGACGAUCCCUAGCUGGUCUGAGAGGAUGACCAGCCACACUGGAACUGAGACACGGUCCAG